AAAGAGAAAAAGUCAUGUCUCCGUUUAGUGCGUCUCUUUGUCUGGGUCUCAGCAAACGCUCACAUAUAGGGGGAAAUGCUCCAAGACCUCUACUUUGCUUAUGGAUCUCUGUCGCACUGUCCAGCUCUUGAGAGGGGGAAAUUUAAAAUGCAACUCCGGUGGACUGGCUGGUCCUUCAGGAUUUGUGGCCUGGCCGCAACAUUGAAGUACUUCUGGUUCAGGAGGACAACAUCAACUGAGGACAUGAUUACACUGAAGAUCACAUCCGUCAAUAUCGGAGUAAUCAUGACGCUGAUCACUUUUUGGUUACAGGAGUUGAAAUGAGACAGAGAGAGAAGAAACGGAGGGAGACGGUGCUGGUGGCGGACAGUGGUGUGGAAGGAUGACGACGCCAACAGGACAUCUCCUAAACCACGUCAUACUUGUCCCAGGUUAAUCACUGGAGUAGGAUUACAUACCAUUUGGCAUAUGGGUUCUUACUGCACAUCAAGACAUAUCUCAUGGGUAGGGUUCGGUUGCGAUGUGUUUCUUGUUGUCAUUAUCAUUUUUUGUUGUAUUUAUUGAUGACAAACCAAUGGGAUGUAGGCCUACAGUGAAACUAAUAAAACAAGAGAAGAAUAAAGGUGGACCCAACCACAAGUUUCUUGUUUUCUCAAACGCUAUAGUUAAAGCCCAUACCCCAUCCUAAGUGAAAAUAAAACAUGCUAUUCUAAUACCAGACGCAGGGUUUGGCAUUGUAUAACUGAAUUAUAAAACAUGAAGUGGCUAAUAAGAGCCUGUUACAGCAGUACUUAAUGUUGGCAGGUACAGAAGGAAUGAGUUUGUCUAUGUUGAUCUUUAUUUUCUCUGGCUUUGGUACAUUUCCUGAAUCCAUUCAGAUGCAAAACUUUGUCUGGUCAAAUUAGAUUAUGAUCAUAAUAAACUAUUUGAAUCUUGUCAGUUCCCCGAACAAGCCAGAAAUUCAGUUGAUCAAUCCAAUCCAGUCUGGGCUCUCAGAGAUUUCACUAAGAAGGUCUACUGAUAUCAUUUUUACAAUGCAACAAGUGGAACAAUUAAAAAAAAAAAUAUUCCAUGAGCCACUGUGUCAAAGAAACAUGACCAAAUGACAUCUGACAGUCUAGAAAUUCCCAUCACCCUUCAUUUGUAGCAGAUCAAUUCCUGUCUCCCUGCGUGUCAAUCAUGUUGAACGAUCUGGAACCUUCUCUGUCUGUUUACAGCUAGGGUAGAGUACCCUAAUUAGGGUCAGUCAACAACAGCCCCCUACUAAGUAGUGAUUGAUUAACCCCAGUCAGCACAACCAUUGCAUGCAUAUGGCUUCAAAUGAUGGCUGUGUGUUUAAACAAGGAAAGUGUUACAUAAUGAAGGGCAAAGUAGAUCAAAGUCAUUAUUUUUGCAGCUAAAUAGGAUGAAUUCUCUGCUUUGUUAAUUUUAUUACUCUUUCCAUUGUACUAUUAUUUUAAUCUGUAUAAAUGUUGUUUUAGAAACGUGCUGAAAAUUCUAAUUAUAUGGGAAACCUAAGGUGGUGUUGGCUUUGUACUUGGAAAAAGAUAAUAACUUGUUUCAUCGUUGCUAAAUCCCAGUUUUUAGAACACAGAUGCAGAAAGACAAGCGGGCUUUACCAGUAAGGAUCGCCUGGCCACACAGAGUUAACUAGGAUUAUCCGUUUCAUUACAACAUCAACUUUCCUCUAAUUUUCAUAAACUUCUGCUCCCUGUGUUUAUUUAUAUAUCCCUCUCUUUCCCCCUCUCCUGUUUAUUGCUCUGGUGUGCUGUAGGCUACUCGACAGAUCCAUCCUUUAUCGACAUUUUCCUCUGUACACAUUUACUGUAGCUUUGACAUUUGGAUGUCAUCCAUUAUUGUGAAUGGGUCUGUAAACCCUGGGUUAAUUCACUCUCAGUUUGUGAACAAAACAUUGUGAUGACCUCGAACACAGACUAAAUGAGCCUAGAGAGGAGCAGGUCUUACUGCCAUAACAGCAGGUGACUAUGACUGAUUCCUAGAGUUGAAAUAAGAUUGAACUGUAUAAUAAAGCUGCUGUUUGCUCUAUAUCCCUACACAGCAGUUUCCUUGCAGUGUAUGAUCAUGGACUGGGUGACGCAGUGCCUCAUUGAGCUCUAGAUUGAUGGAAGGACACACUUUAAUGGGGAAUGGUAGUGUAUAAGUGUCUCAUGCAAAUGUCUUGAGCAGGUAUUAUUGUCAAAUACUUAGUAGGAGAUAUCCAAAUAACCAAGUUCACAAUUAUAAAUUCAAAUAUUGCUCUGACCAGUUUAAAUGUAUCUUUGAUAAUUAUUAAUCUAGUUAUUUAAAAAAAAAAUCUUGGUUUAAACCAAGGUUACGCAUCUUGUCAAUAGUAGCAUACCCAGGUGAGACCGGACAGCUGUUCCAGGAACCAUGAAAUAGAAGAGCCAUUUGAUUCUCACUGGUUUCAGAACAAGCCUUCAUUAUUUGUAGAUUAUCUUUUUGAAAAUACAUUUUAAAGACUGUGAAAAUGGAAUAGUAAUACAUUUUAAAGACUGUGAAAAUGGAAUAGUAAUACAUUUUAAAGACUGUGAAAAUGGAAUAGUAAUACAUUUUAAAGACUGUGAAAAUGGAAUAGUAAUACAUUUUAAAGACUGUGAAAAUGGAAUAGUAAUACAUUUUCACUUGGCGAAGUCUGUGAGUCCUGUUUCCCACCACAAACGUCUUGACAUUGUAAUGUGUAUUGGACACUGGGGACCUUUACGCAUUUUAGGUUAUGAUUUAGGAAAAUUGAUAAAUAGGCCAGGCUUACCUUAAAAACAACAAGUUAUUUUGUUGUGCAGCUUGCUUGUUGUUUCGAUCCACUUCUGAAUUAUAACCUCACUUCUGAAUAGUCCACGCACUCUUUGGAAGGAAGGACGUGUAACCCCAGGAGUCUCUGUUGUACGCCUUGCCUUUCGGCAAUAGUCCUAUUCUGUUCUGUUUCCACUCUCUUAUUCCUUUAACAUUAAUCACACAUUUUUGCAUAUCUUUAUUGUUUUUUCCCCUUUUGUUUUUGAAUCCUUUGUUGUCCUCUGCCACCUUCUAACUGUCUCCUGUAAUCCGGU